rnacentral:rRNA from 1 species
AUGUGUGUGUGUGUGUGUGUUCAUCAUGCUCUUGUGUGUGUGUGUGUGUGCUCGGGGAGGAGCGGCGCCCAUGAUGGCCGCCGGGGGCGAGGGAGAGGGGUUAGAGGGGGAGAGCUCACAGCGGGGCGACGGCGAAGGCGAGGCGACGGCAAGGCGACAGCGACGACGGUGGCGACGGGGACGGGGGCGGCGACGGAGACGAGGGCGGCGACGGGGACGGGGGCGUGCCUGAGGCGGCGACGGAGACGACGGUGGCGACGGGGACGGGGGCGGCGAUGGAGACGAUCGAGGGCGGCGGCGACGUCGAUGGAGACGGAAACAGAGGAACAAACAGAGAGGGAAAACGAAAUUUUCAGACGUGUUGUAUAUAUAGACCCCUCUUUAGUACCGGUUGGAGCCACCAACCGGUACUAA